rnacentral:lncRNA from 1 species
CGGCGAGGGAAGUCGGUGGUGACGCCAAUGUAGGUGCGGGGGAUCUAGGAGAAGGCUACACGAACCACGGCAGCAGCGCCUUGUGCCUUGUUUAGUUCACCCCGAAAACCAAAAAGUUUUCAAGAUUUUCCGUCACAUCGAAUCUUGCGACAUAUGCAUGAAGUAUUAAAUAUAGACAAAAACAAAAACUAAUUACACAGUUUGCUUGUAAA